UCAAAUAUGUUUUCCUAUAUAUUUGUGUUAGUUUUGGAAGAUCGUGACGGAAUCGCUAAGAUCAUAAUUGUUUAAAGAUUUUCAUAAUUUCAUUUCGAUAUUCUUUCCAAAAGUGAGUUCUUCUCUUACCAACACAUUCAGCAGCUUGUUGACUAUGGCCACGUUUCUAAUGCGUCGGCAUUUGUAGUUCCAAAAUAAUCCUUCAAACUGUAGACUCUCACGUUAUGUAUUAUGAUAGAGUUAUCAAUUUGCAAACUUAUCUUAAGCCAAUAUACUUUUCUUUCAAUGUGUUAAUUGCUAAUUGUAUAAUUGUUGUUCGAAUAUCAAAUUCUUAUACAAAAGUUAUUGCUGGAUUUUUUUUUACAAAAAUACAACUGAAAUGUUUUUACUACCAAUCUGAUGCUUUCUUAUAGCUUUAUGUUAGUUUUGGAAAAUCGCGACUGAAUACCUGGAUGUAUUUUUUUUUUUCAAACUUACUUUAAAUAAAUGUAAUGUCUAUUUUUUGUGCAAAAGUGCCUUCCACUUCUCUUUUUACCAACACAUUCAGCAGCUUGUUAAUGCUGAAUGAUAACAUGUACCUCAGUAACAAGAUCAAAAGCAAUCUUAUGUGACUUCUUGACCCAUUAUGUUAUGCAUAUAUGAAGAGCUCUUGAACCCACUUCUUUGGGGUAUCAACUCUAUCAAGGUUUUAGAUACUCGCAGUUUAAAUGAGAAAUUCUGUUAAAAUAUAUGAAACUGGACUGGGACAGCUUCUCCACUGUGUGGCGGCUUCUGCUGUUUCAUCGACAACUGGUAAAACUUGUUGGGGGCCGUGUUUCGUGUAAACUGCUGGCAAGAAAAGUUGAAACAUAAAAAAGAUAAGAGCUGCUAGCUGUUAAACAUCGCCGCGCCCCUUGCCAACCUCUCACUCGCUGCUUGGUCAUGAAUAUGCAACAAUAAAAUGCGACAGCAGGAAAAAAUUAAAUAUGACACUUAUCUGGCGCACAAACAAACUUCAAACACAUUACGCAACACCAGAAGGGAACACGGGGGUUGUGUUGGGCCCAGGACCUGCUCCUGCUCCUCCUGCUACUGCUGCUAGCCGUCGCAGACAAUGCCAGGUAUCAUGAGCGCAAUCAGCGGCUCCAGAAUAUUGUGAAUUGCUGUCAUUAAAAUGUUGACAAAGGCGCAAAAGGUGUAAAAACCACAGUGCGACAAACCAGACCCCGGCACCCACCACCUCCCCCCAACACACAAACCGUCAAGCCGGCAGCUCGUAACGAGUUCUGUUAAUGUCCCGGCCACAAAUGUGACCCCUGACUAUACGGCCCGAUAAUGUUGGCAUGUUUUCUAUAUACUUUGUGGGGAAGCAACUGAGAAGUCUUAAAAAAAAAACAUGAUUAAGUAAUCUUUCUUUUUUAAAACAUUAAGAAUUUCAUUUAUGACCCCCUUAAUUGGUUUUAUUUUGAACUGUAUUCUUUUGGUUAUGUAAUUCUGUUUAUACUUGAUAAAUGAAUACACAUGCUGGCUAGGCUAGUUCCCACCAAAGAAUACCUCUCCAUUACAGCAAACAACUUACGUUACAAAUAAACUAAAGUCCUCAUAUUUUUUACAAGAUAGUUGUUUCGUUGUGGCUCUAAGGCUUGGCAAGGGAAUUUGUCUUAUAUAAGGCAUUUGGUACAAAAAAAACAUUUACUAAAUAUUAGGAAACCUGCCGGAUUCAUGAGAAUCGAGGAGAAAAGCAGCACUUAAAUUCCGAAGCUAGUCCGAACCACUUGGGUAUUAAAAGCUACGAAAGGACAAGCAAGCUUAUGCUUUGGAACUGCAUUUGCUAUGGGAAGCCGAAAAUUUAGUUAUAGCAAGAAGACGACGCUUAAUAUGAUAUCGUUCUUUGUUAAAUGUGUACAAGGAUAUUUAA